rnacentral:rRNA from 1 species
UUAAAUUGAAGAGUUUGAUCAUGGCUCAGAUUGAACGCUGGCGGCAGGCCUAACACAUGCAAGUCGAGCGGUAGCACAGAGAGCUUGCUCUCGGGUGACGAGCGGCGGACGGGUGAGUAAUGUCUGGGAAACUGCCUGAUGGAGGGGGAUAACUACUGGAAACGGUAGCUAAUACCGCAUAACGUCGCAAGACCAAAGUGGGGGACCUUCGGGCCUCAUGCCAUCAGAUGUGCCCAGAUGGGAUUAGCUAGUAGGUGGGGUAACGGCUCACCUAGGCGACGAUCCCUAGCUGGUCUGAGAGGAUGACCAGCCACACUGGAACUGAGACACGGUCCAGACUCCUACGGGAGGCAGCAGUGGGGAAUAUUGCACAAUGGGCGCAAGCCUGAUGCAGCCAUGCCGCGUGUGUGAAGAAGGCCUUCGGGUUGUAAAGCACUUUCAGCGGGGAGGAAGGCGUUAAGGUUAAUAACCUUGGCGAUUGACGUUACCCGCAGAAGAAGCACCGGCUAACUCCGUGCCAGCAGCCGCGGUAAUACGGAGGGUGCAAGCGUUAAUCGGAAUUACUGGGCGUAAAGCGCACGCAGGCGGUCUGUCAAGUCGGAUGUGAAAUCCCCGGGCUCAACCUGGGAACUGCAUUCGAAACUGGCAGGCUAGAGUCUUGUAGAGGGGGGUAGAAUUCCAGGUGUAGCGGUGAAAUGCGUAGAGAUCUGGAGGAAUACCGGUGGCGAAGGCGGCCCCCUGGACAAAGACUGACGCUCAGGUGCGAAAGCGUGGGGAGCAAACAGGAUUAGAUACCCUGGUAGUCCACGCCGUAAACGAUGUCGAUUUGGAGGUUGUGCCCUUGAGGCGUGGCUUCCGGAGCUAACGCGUUAAAUCGACCGCCUGGGGAGUACGGCCGCAAGGUUAAAACUCAAAUGAAUUGACGGGGGCCCGCACAAGCGGUGGAGCAUGUGGUUUAAUUCGAUGCAACGCGAAGAACCUUACCUGGUCUUGACAUCCACAGAACUUUCCAGAGAUGGAUUGGUGCCUUCGGGAACUGUGAGACAGGUGCUGCAUGGCUGUCGUCAGCUCGUGUUGUGAAAUGUUGGGUUAAGUCCCGCAACGAGCGCAACCCUUAUCCUUUGUUGCCAGCGGUCCGGCCGGGAACUCAAAGGAGACUGCCAGUGAUAAACUGGAGGAAGGUGGGGAUGACGUCAAGUCAUCAUGGCCCUUACGACCAGGGCUACACACGUGCUACAAUGGCAUAUACAAAGAGAAGCGACCUCGCGAGAGCAAGCGGACCUCAUAAAGUAUGUCGUAGUCCGGAUUGGAGUCUGCAACUCGACUCCAUGAAGUCGGAAUCGCUAGUAAUCGUAGAUCAGAAUGCUACGGUGAAUACGUUCCCGGGCCUUGUACACACCGCCCGUCACACCAUGGGAGUGGGUUGCAAAAGAAGUAGGUAGCUUAACCUUCGGGAGGGCGCUUACCACUUUGUGAUUCAUGACUGGGGUGAAGUCGUAACAAGGUAACCG